rnacentral:rRNA from 1 species
AUGCCUAGGAAUCUGCCUGGUAGUGGGGGAUAACGUUCGGAAACGAACGCUAAUACCGCAUGCGUCCUACGGGAGAAAGCAGGGGACCUUCGGGCCCUUGCGCUAUCAGAUGAGCNUAGGUCGGAUUAGCUAGUUGGUGAGGUAAUGGCUCACCAAGGCGACGAUCCGUAACUGGUCUGAGAGGAUGAUCAGUCACACUGGAACUGAGACACGGUCCAGACUCCUACGGGAGGCAGCAGUGGGGAAUAUUGGACAAUGGGCGAAAGCCUGAUCCAGCCAUGCCGCGUGUGUGAAGAAGGUCUUCGGAUUGUAAAGCACUUUAAGUUGGGAGGAAGGGCAUUAACCUAAUACGUUAGUGUUUUGACGUUACCGACAGAAUAAGCACCGGCUAACUCUGUGCCAGCAGCCGCGGUAAUACAGAGGGUGCAAGCGUUAAUCGGAAUUACUGGGCGUAAAGCGCGCGUAGGUGGUUUGUUAAGUUGGAUGUGAAAUCCCCGGGCUCAACCUGGGAACUGCAUUCAAAACUGACUGACUAGAGUAUGGUAGAGGGUGGUGGAAUUUCCUGUGUAGCGGUGAAAUGCGUAGAUAUAGGAAGGAACACCAGUGGCGAAGGCGACCACCUGGACUAAUACUGACACUGAGGUGCGAAAGCGUGGGGAGCAAACAGGAUUAGAUACCCUGGUAGUCCACGCCGUAAACGAUGUCAACUAGCCGUUGGAAGCCUUGAGCUUUUGGUGGCGCAGCUAACGCAUUAAGUUGACCGCCUGGGGAGUACGGCCGCAAGGUUAAAACUCAAAUGAAUUGACGGGG